rnacentral:rRNA from 1 species
AGCUCCAAUAGCGUAUACUAAUGUUGUUGCAGUUAAAAAGCUCGUAGUCGGAUUUCAGUUUAUUUGCGUUUAACCUAUCCUGGUUUUGAUGUGAAUUUACUUUAUGCAAGAAACUUUCAUAUUAUUUAUUUGAUAUGUUUGGGGACUUGCUCAUUUACUUUGAGAAAAUUAGAGUGUUCAAAGCAGGUAUUUGCCUGGAUAUUACUCUUGGAAUAAUAAUAUAGGACUUCAGUUCUAGUUUGUUGGUGAUCUGGAACCGGAGUAAUGAUUGAUAGGGACAGUUGGGGUCAUUCAUACUGCAAAGCGAGAGGUGGAAUUCUUGGACCUUUGUAUGAUGAACAACUGCGAAAGCAUUUGACUAGGAUGUUCCCG